rnacentral:lncRNA from 1 species
GAACAAAGCAAAUUAAGGCUCAAAAAGGGGUAGCAAAAGAUAAAAGUGUUUGGGUAACAGAAUAAAAUGCCUUCGUCAUACCAAACUUUAAAAACGCCAAGUACAAACAUGCAAUUGAAGAUAAGCAAAGAAAUCAUACACAGUAUCUAUUGACGGCAUCAACGCAAACAAAAAGUGCCAAUAGGCAAUACUUUUGUCCCAGUGAAUGACCCUUGCCAGUUCGAAGCAGAUUUGACUCAACCUUAUCUUGAUGUGAAAGAAUGCAUUUGAGCACUGACUGAUUUACCUCAAACUGCUUAAGAGGCAUUUUCUUGUUGUAUGCUCUUAUCAAUCUCUUGAUUUUCCAGACUUACUGCCUCAGUUUCACUCAAUUCAAGCUUCAGGUCAUCUCACAAUGCGUGAAUCUCUACUUGUUUCCUCAAAUGCCUCUUUUAUCAUGUUCAAAACUGUGUCAUUGCUUCAUGAUUAAACUAACUUUCAAGACCAGGCUAAGAAUUAUGUGUGAAUGUCAUGUCACUAGAAUCUGGAUGAAAAGAACUAUAAAAGAAAAAGUCACCUAAACAAAAACUAACUAGAACUCAUAGAAAACAAGUGAUUGUAUUAGACAGAUGGUGAAAAAUGUUUGAACAAAACAAACAAAAUAGACAUGGGUUACAAUCCUGGAACAAACCUAGAUAGCACUAGACGAGUUGCUACAACUAAACGAACUAGGCAAAAUAAGAAGAAGAAGGGUUUGAGCCACAAGACAAUAUCUGGAUUAGAACCCUAAAAUAACCUGGACAACAAAAUAAACUACCAAAACUCCUCCCUGGCUAGCCAAGAAAGGAGUGUCUUUCCAAUUACCAAGCUCGACAUCUUAGCCACUGGGUUGCACAUCAAAAUUACUGGGACCUUCACCAAUUUCAGUAUCAUUAACUUCAGUCAGCAUGUCACCAAAAUUAUUGGGACCUUUUUUACAACCUCACUAACCCUCUUAAAUAAAUAAACAGGAUUUGUAAAGCUCAAAAGGGUUUUCAAUUAUGAAAGUGAUAAAGAAUUGUGUUUCAAAAGAUAUUUCAGAGUCACCACCUGACAUUGAUUUCGGUGUGCCAAGUCACCGUUUUUUAAAAAUAAUUUUUAUGUUAAAACACUUUGGAUUCCAAAACUAAGUCCGCAUCAGAGAUUUGGGUAAAGGGGGUUCAAUUGACUCGGGGAGAAGGUGUUAGGCACUCCCAAAGUCCCGUGAAGGUCACGGUUGCGUACUCAGUCUAGUUGGCUUCUAAAAUAUUCAAAUUGAGGUAAAAUCACAAAAAGAAAAAUAAACACAAAAGAGGCCCGAGGUCGUCCCCACCUAAAUAAAAGAAAGAGAAAAAUGAAAAUAAAGAUACUACAAAUUCUAUUUUUGAUCUCCGAAUACAAAUACUACGGGGCAUACCCCAGAUAAAUCUAUACAAAGUCUACGGGGCAUACCACGGAUAAAUUUAACUAAAUGGGGUGACCUCUCACCUUAAAAUUAAACAAACAAAAUCCUAAAGUUUGUCUAUCCAAGCGUGGUUGGUCUAUAACAUAUUACUACCAAACCCAUGUAGGCAAAAAUACAAAUAAAAGCAAAAUUAAGUCCAAUUCCCCAAUUUCAUCUCAGGCCCAACAUUUGUAUAUUUUUUUAAUAUCCCUUUUAAUAUCUUUAAUUGAGUUCUUUUCUCCAACCAAGUAAUCAUUUGAAUCUCAAAUAGAUGUUCAACUCUCCUUAAUUAAGUUCAAACCUCCACUGCCUGUUUAUCUUAUUUACUUAAGAAGUAAUUACCAAAAAAACAAAAACAAAAAAAGUAGAACAAUCAAUCAAAUAAAGGAACUGAACCCAAAAGAUUUGUUUGAGCAGAAUAUUUCAAUAAUAGACACUAACAAACAGACAGGACACUCACUAAAUUAAUCAACAAAAUAGUAUCACCAAGUAAUCACGUACAUGAAACUAAAGAAGAGUUAAUAGAUAGGAAAAGGAUAAGAGCGGACCUCAAAUUAGCAAAUGGUCACCUUCGAUAACUGGACCGAAAGUCGAACAAUGUGUAUUCUUAAACAAAUCUGAAGAUGAGCAAGGAACAACUAUCGGACCUUCGAACUAAGAACGGAACCAACGAACGGACCACCUAUCAAUAGUGAAACUACACCGGCGACUUCGACGGAACUCAAGCUCGAAAUUGAGUCGGUGAAGGGACUUUUGGCUAAAACAGUAGUGGUACCGCCAUCUCUGAGUUCUUCCGUCACUUUGCUCUAUCUGUGCCUGUGUGUGCGUGUGUCUUUUUUUGGUGUCGAAUUCCGGCGAGAUGGCCGGAGGUGGACGGUUGGAGAUGGGGUAUGCGGUUGUCUCUUGGGAUGGAGGAGUUAGGGUUGAUUUUGUGGUGAAGAGAGAGGAAUUCUGAAGCUAAAUGGUCUUGGAGAUGAAGAAGAAAGGUUGGUCGUUGCUAGCUCUUGAAGGCGUGCGGCGCUAAGGAUUUUUUUCCGUC